UACGAGGGUGGCGAGCGUUGUUCGGAAUUAUUGGGCUUAAAGGGUGCGUAGGCGGUUUGGUAAGUCUGGUGUGAAAUCUACAGGCUCAACUUGUAGUCUGCACGAGAAACUGCCGGGCUUGAGUGUGGGAGAGGUGAGUGGAAUUCCUGGUGUAGCGGUGAAAUGCGUAGAUAUCAGGAGGAACACCUGUGGCGAAAGCGGCUCACUGGACCAUAACUGACGCUGAUGCACGAAAGCUAGGGGAGCAAACAGG
rnacentral:rRNA from 1 species